GAUGAACGCUGGCGGCGAGCCUAAUACAUGCAAGUCGAGCGAACAGACGAGGAGCUUGCUCCUCUGAUGUUAGCGGCGGACGGGUGAGUAACACGUGGAUAACCUACCUAUAAGACUGGGAUAACUUCGGGAAACCGGAGCUAAUACCGGAUAAUAUAUUGAACCGCAUGGUUCAAUAGUGAAAGACGGUUUUGCUGUCACUUAUAGAUGGAUCCGCGCCGCAUUAGCUAGUUGGUAAGGUAACGGCUUACCAAGGCGACGAUGCGUAGCCGACCUGAGAGGGUGAUCGGCCACCCUGGAACUGAGAACCGGUCCAGACUCCGACGGGAGGCAGCAGUAGGGAAUCUUCCGCAAUGGGCGAAAGCCUGACGGAGCAACGCCGGGUGAGUGAUGAAGGUUUUCGGAUCGUAAAACUCUGUUAUUAGGGAAGAACAAAUGUGUAAGUAACUAUGCCCGUCUGGACGGUACCUAAUCAGAAAGCCACGGCUAACUACGU
rnacentral:rRNA from 1 species